rnacentral:tRNA from 1 species
GGUUUGGUACUUUAAGUUUAAAAGGCGAUAUUUGCAUUUUCGUGAUGGGGCGUAGCCUCUCAAACCU